AUAAAUUUUUUCUUACAUAGCCUUUAUGUGACUUGUUUAGUACACAUUUGCUUACUCCAAGGUCAUAGAAUUGUUCUCCUCCAAAAGCUUUAUUGUUGGCUGGGCUGAGCAUGGUGGCUCACACCUGUAAUCCCAGCACUUUGGAAGGCUGAGGUGGGUGGAUCACUUGAGGUCAGGAGUUUGAGACCAGCCUGGCCAACAUGAUGAAACCCUAUGGGCCCACAUGGUGAAACCCCAUCUCUACUAAAAACAUAAAAAAUUAGCUGGGUGUGGUGCCACAUACCUGUAAUCCCAGUUACUUGGAAAUCCAAGACAGCAGAAUUGCUUGAACCCAGAAAGUGGAGGUUGCAGUGAGCCGAGAUUAUGCUGCUGCACUACAACCUGGGCGAAAGAGUGACACUCAAUCUCAAAAAAAAAAAGCAAAGUUUUAUUGUUUUACCCUUCACAUUUAGUUCUACAAAGCUCUGUAAUAAUCUGGAAUAGAUUUUUGUGUGAUGUGAGAUAGGGGUCAAGAUAUCUUUGUUUUUCUUUAUUUUCUUAUAGAUAUGCAAUGGACCCAGCACCAUUUACUGAAAAGAUCACUCCUUUCCCAUUGGACUGUGAUGUUGCCUGUCAUACAUACAGGAAUCAUGUAUGUGUAGGUCUGUUUCCAGACUUUCUCCUCUGUUCCAUUGGCUUGUUUGUCCACCCUUGCACCAAUACCACACUGCCUUCAUUACUACAGCUUUAUUAAAAGUCUUGGCAUACAGCUUUGUUUUUCUUCUUCAACUUUGCCUUGGACUUUUCCUUACACUCAUGUAUUAGCUGUGCUUCCCCCCCAACCCCAGGGCCUUUGCACAUGCUCCCUCUGCUGAAACCCCCUUCCUUUCUCUCAUCACCUAUUAGCUCUUACUCACUGUUCAUAUCACACCUCAGUUGUUAUUUCCUCAGAGAAGCUUUCCCUGAACUUCCCGACCAGGCCAACGGACCCACAAACCCCUCAUAACCCCACCCACCUCUCUCUAUAACAUUGAUUACAAUUCAGCUUUUCAUUUAUUCUUGUGGUUAUUUGAUCUAUGUGCUUUCCUUCUCUAAUCUGUUGAGCUCUGCAAGGAAGGGACUCAUUGUUGUUUUAUUUAUUGAUAUAUUCUCAGGGCUUAGCACAACUGGACACUUAGUCAAAGUUUUCGAAUACAUGAGGGCAAGAGUCCCUUAUUCAUAGAGAUCUGUGUAUGUGUGUAUGUGUCUGCAUGUGCCCUUGUGUGCAUGUGUAUGACCAAAACUUUAUCAGUGCGUGAACAACAAAACUUUAUCAGCAAAACUUUGACAGCAUAUCUGUUUUUAAACAGAGCACGUGUGUGUACAAUAACAGAAUCCACUCAGGAGUCACAGAUCAGGGGAGCUGGACCCCUACUCUCCUCUUGGGUUCUCCUUCCCCCGCCCCUCCACCCUCUGACCCUGUCCAGCACUCCCAGCAGCCUCCUCUCCUUCCUGAGUGACGGAGGAAGAUGCUGGUCUCCAGCUGCCUCCGCUCGGCUGCCCUUGUGCAGUUGUCUGCCAGUUGUGCACGCCGAUUACUAUGAAUGCCACCAUCUGGUACGCCACGUGGACAUCAUAAUCUUUUCUUAAUUACAUUAGCAGCGCAAUCAGUUACUGCAUUACAAGGCCGGCGAUGAGCUUUUAAAUCUUGGUGGAAAUCAUAAAUAAUUGCACUAAGUACCAGGCGCCAGAUGUGUGCGCCAACUUCGGUUGCACUAGAUAAAUAGUAACCUUACAAGGGUGUGAGACAGCAGGCGGUCUGGCCGGCCACCGGGCCAUGCCACACCUGGGCCUCGCUGCAGGAAGGCCCCGCAGCCAUGCACUUGAAGAGAGGCCGUGGAAGGAGGUGGGGGCACCUUCUGGGUGCGUGGGUGCCAAGGAGAGAGAGAGAGAGAGAUCCUCAGAGCCAGAGCCAGGGAGGGCUCGGGAAGAACGUGGAGACAGACAAAGGGGAAAUGAGGUGGGUGGACAGGAAAGAAGAGAGAAUGGGAGAAGAGAAGGUGGGUGGGGAGGAGGAGGAGAGGAGAAAACAGGACCAGGGAGAGACACUGAGAUGGAGACCGAGAGACAGAGAGUGACAGGAACACAAAAAAACAGAGUGCAAUGAAAAGAUCCAGGAUGCGUGGGCAGGCUGAGAGAACAAAGAGAAGGCCUUGUUUCAGCUGACCUCUCGCUCUUGGCCAGCAGUUGGAAGAGAUCCCAGGGACCGGCUCAGCCACUCAGGGUGGCAGCCAGGCAUCUGUGCAGAGGAAAGUCAACAGAUUUUUCUGUAAAAAUGUGAAACUAGCAGUGUAAAUCAUUAUUUUGAAUUAUAAAGGUAAACAGAAGAGACCAGUGAAAGCAUGUAAAGUAGCUGUUUGUGGAAGAGGAAACGAAGAUAUUAGUGGGGACUUUGUUUUUUAUUUUGUAACGUUUGGGCUGACUUUCCAGAAUUAUCUCUGGGAGAUGUCUAGCCACCCCAUGCCUUGCAAAGCUUCACAUGGGUGAUGAUAUUGAAGGCCCAGUGCAGGUCAAUGGGGGCUCCAUAGCAAAUGAGAUACAGAGGAAGAACCGACCUUCCUAUCCACCAGUGCUCACUGACACUCAACCACAGCUUUGCUCUUGUUUCUGGAGGAAGGGCCGUGGGGAUCAACUCAAGAACAUGGUGGAACAGAGAUGCUUGCUGAAUUAGUUGGUUGUAAGCACAAAAUUAUUUUGGUAGUUGUUGCAAAUUGCUUCACUUAUCCUGGUUUCAGUGUAGAACUCAAUGGCAAUGCAAAUAGACUUGAUCUCCAUAGGGUCCUUGUGGGGACUCAAUGAGAUAGAUUCUGUAGAGCUUUGGGCUUGAUUGGUGCAGUGUUCAAUGAGUGAGCUGGGAGAAACUCAUCUCCCCAUUUCUGGUGCCCAGUGCAGGUCAAUACCCCUUUACCACAGCCGCAGGCUCCAGAGACUAAGCCAUAAACUUCUUUGGACAGAAACAUCAUUAUUCAGCCUAGCAUAUAGACCUUUUUUGAAUUUUGAAUUUUUAUGGGUACGUUGUAGGUACAUAUAUUUAUGGGGUACAUAGGUACUGUCAUACAGGCAGACAAUGCAUAAUAAUCCCAUCAGGGUAAACGGGGUAGCUAUCACCUCAAGAAUUUGUCCUUACUUUAGUGUUACAAACAAUCCAAUUAUACUCCUUUAGUUAUUUUAAAAUGUAUAAUAAAUUUUUAUUGAC